rnacentral:rRNA from 1 species
UACGGAGGGAGCUAGCGUUGUUCGGAAUUACUGGGCGUAAAGCGCACGUAGGCGGCUAUUCAAGUCGGGGGUGAAAGCCCGGGGCUCAACCCCGGAACUGCCCUCGAAACUAGAUAGCUAGAAUCUUGGAGAGGCGAGUGGAAUUCCGAGUGUAGAGGUGAAAUUCGUAGAUAUUCGGAAGAACACCAGUGGCGAAGGCGACUCGCUGGACGAGUAUUGACGCUGAGGUGCGAAAGCGUGGGGAGCAAACAGG